CUCAAAGCAAAGAGGUGGUGAGAUUAGAAUAUGAGGGUUUUAUUUCUAUGUACAUGGAGAGGGAGAGAGAGAGAGAGAGAGAAACUUACAAAGAGAAAAAACUUACAAAGAGCUCGAAAACCAGAGUAGUGGAAGUACGUCAGAAUUGGACAAGUACUUGGGUGAUAUUGAGAAAGGUGGAAAGAAGCUCAAUUUGAUAUCUUGGAGUGGUGGAAGGUUAAUGCAACAAAGUAUAGAGUAUUAUCACUUAUAGCAUGAGAUGUGUUGGCAAUGCUUGUUUCCACUAUUAAUUCUGAAUCGACUUUUAGUAUAGAAGGUCGUAUACUUGAUCCAUUCCGUAGUUCACUUGCUCCCAAGAUGGUGGAGGUUCUUGUUUGUUCACAAAUUGGCUUCAAAGUAACAUUCCAAUAUGCCUUCAACAAGCAAUGAAGGAUGUUGAAGAAUUUGAACAACAAUAUAAUUCGAUUGUUUCGGAAUCAAGUUCAUGUUCAAGCCCUAAGUCCGGAGAGUACUUUUAUUGAAGUUUAAUAUCAUUGGU